CGUUACUCUUUUUUCUCAUCUCCCAAAUAAAAGUUUCUACUUAAUUCUUUUUCCCUUUUAAUCUCAAAAUUUGCCCCCAAAUUUCCCAUUUUCAGCAACACCAAGUAAAUACACCUACACCAAUCACACUUCUUUUUCCUUUUCAUUUCACUGCACUGAAUUCACUCACCAUAGCUACUCAUUUUCUCUCGAUUUGUUAGGGUUUCUUUUAAUUUUAGGGUUUCAAGGGAAACAUACAGUUUCCUUUUAAUUUUACUGGUGAUUUCUAUGGAGACGGAAACCCUUGAUGACAAGAAACCGGAGGAAGAGGAGGUGAAAGAGAGACUGAAACUUCCCAUUGAAUAAGAAAUCAAUAGAAGGAAAAAGAAAUCAGAUCUUUCUGAAUAAGAAGAAGAAAAAUCAGUACUUUCUUUCCAUUGAAGAACAAGAAGUGAAAGAGGAUAUCAAGGGAAAAUGUCAAGAGAAAAACUAAGAAGAGCCGCACUUCCUCCUGUUCAAAAGAAUAUUGAUAAAUUAGAAAAAGCUAUAAAUGAGGGUAAUUUCUAUGGAGCUCAGCAGAUGUACAAAUCAAUAAGUGCACGAUCCAUCUGCUUUAAGAGAUAAAGUUAUAUUUGCAAAUUGGCAGAGAAACCGAAGGAAACCUGAAGAACUUAAUGGGGGAAAAAAGGUGAACAGUAGGAAGGAAAAGUAUGAAAAGGCCAUUGCUGCGCUUGAUGAAAUGGAGAAAAGAGCGGUAAUGGCAGAAUCAAUGGAGGAGGGUACCUUACAUUACUAUUCUGGACAAAAUAAAGCUCAGCCGUCUCUUUCUCCACGGUGUGUAGUUGACUUCCCAUUUUCAAAUUUUUGUGCUUGGAUGAAAAACAUUUUAUAAUGGAUGAUAAAACCAAACCAGACCAGCUGGUUCAACUAAUUCUACAGAGAACCUGGUAGUUUGACAGUCAUAUAGGUAAGCUUAUUUGCAUACCAUUACAAGCCUAGUUGUAAGGUACUUUGUUCCAUUUUUUUGUACUUAAUUGCCACUUGAAUUUAUAUUCUAUAAGACAUGAUACCCCAUUUGUUAACAACUUAAUAUCAAAUUGCAGAUAUGCUAUUGCUUUCCUAAAUUACAGAUAUUGCGUUGCUAUCGCUGGGACUGAUUACUGUGUUAUAAUAGCUGAUACUUGAAUGUCUACCGGUCACAAUAUCCUCACCGGUGACUACUCCAAAAUCUCCAAAACUUCAUUACUCAAAGGUAGGUUCUUGCAUGAAAGACCUGUUGAAGAGGAGAGGCCACCUUCAGUGGCAGUGAGUGAAUUAAAUCAAUUAAGUCACUACUCAGAAGUAAAAUAUCCAUUAGCCUGUUACUUUAUUAGAAUGUGUUAGAUUUCCUCAACAAUGUCUAAUUUGAGUUUAUAGAAUCAAUAAACUCAUGUAGUAAACAGUGGAUGUAGUAAACCCAUUUCAGUAUAAUUUCAAAGGGUUUUUGAAUUUCUAUUUUAGUCUAUAAAUUUUCAAGUUUAUUAUUGUA